GUGCCAGCAGCCGCGGUAAUACGUAGGGUGCAAGCGUUAAUCGGAAUUACUGGGCGUAAAGCGUGCGCAGGCGGUUUUGUAAGACAGUGGUGAAAUCCCCGGGCUCAACCUGGGAACUGCCAUUGUGACUGCAAGGCUAGAGUGCGGCAGAGGGGGAUGGAUUCCGCGUGUAGCAGUGAAAUGCGUAGAUAUGCGGAGGAACACCGAUGGCGAAGGCAAUCCCCUGGGCCUGCACUGACGCUCAUGCACGAAAGCG
rnacentral:rRNA from 1 species